CUAUACUAUAACGCUUAAUCAGCAGUCUGAUGGAGCACGCCGCGUGAGUGAAGAAGGCUUUCGGGUCGUAAAACUCUGUUGUUGGAGAAGAAUGGUCGGCAGAGUAACUGUUGUCGGCGUGACGGUAUCCAACCAGAAAGCCACGGCUAACUACGUGCCAGCAGCCGCGGUAAUACGUAGGUGGCAAGCGUUAUCCGGAUUUAUUGGGCGUAAAGCGAGCGCAGGCGGUUUUUUAAGUCUGAUGUGAAAGCCCUCGGCUUAACCGAGGAAGUGCAUCGGAAACUGGGAAACUUGAGUGCAGAAGAGGACAGUGGAACUCCAUGUGUAGCGGUGAAAUGCGUAGAUAUAUGGAAGAACACCAGUGGCGAAGGCGGCUGUCUGGUCUGUAACUGACGCUGAGGCUCGAAAGCAUGGGUAGCGAACAGGAUUAGAUACC
rnacentral:rRNA from 2 species